AGAAGCUUGCUUCUCUGAUGUUAGCUGCGGACGGGUGAGUAACACGUGGAUAACCUACCUAUUAGACUGGGAUAACUUCGGGAAACCAUAGCUAAUACCGGAUAAUAUUUUUGAACCGCAGGGUUCAAAUGUGAAAGACGGUCUUGCUGUCUCUUAUAGAGAGAUGCGCGCUGCAAUAGCUAGUUGGUAAGGUAACGGCUUACCGGGGCAACGAUGCAUAGCCGACCUGAGAGGGUGAUCGGCCACACUGGAACUGAGACACGGUCCAAACUCCUACGGGAGGCAGCAGUAGGGAAUCUUCCGCAAUGGGCGAAAGCCUGACGGAGCAACGCCGCGUGAGUGAUGAAGGUCUUCGGAUCGUAAAACUCUGUUAUUAGGGAAGAAGAUAUGUGUAAGUAACUGUGCACAUCUUGACGGUACCUAAUCAGAAAGCCACGGCUAACUACGUGCCAGCAGCCGCGGUAAUACGUAGGUGGCAAGCGUUAUCCGGAAUUAUUGGGCGUAAAGCGCGCGUAGGCGGUUUUUUAAGUCUGAUGUGAAAGCCCACGGCUCAACCGUGGAGGGUCAUUGAAAACUGGAAAACUUGAGUGCAGAAGAGGAAAGUGGAAUUCCAUGUGUAGCGGUGAAAUGCGCAUAGAUAUGAA
rnacentral:rRNA from 1 species